UACGUAGGGUGCGAGCGUUAAUCGGAAUUACUGGGCGUAAAGGGUGCGCAGGCGGUCCUGCAAGUCAGUCGUGAAAUCCCCGGGCUUAACCUGGGAAUGGCACUUGAAACUACGGGACUGGAGUAUGGCAGAGGGAGGUGGAAUUCCACGUGUAGCGGUGAAAUGCGUAGAGAUGUGGAGGAACACCGAUGGCGAAGGCAGCCUCCUGGGCCAAUACUGACGCUCAUGCACGAAAGCGUGGGGAGCAAACAGG
rnacentral:rRNA from 1 species